UACGGAGGAUGCGAGCGUUAUCCGGAUUUAUUGGGUUUAAAGGGUGCGUAGGCGGACGCUUAAGUCAGCGGUAAAAUUGCGGGGCUCAACCUCGUCGAGCCGUUGAAACUGGGUGCCUUGAGUGGGCGAGAAGUACGCGGAAUGCGUGGUGUAGCGGUGAAAUGCAUAGAUAUCACGCAGAACUCCGAUUGCGAAGGCAGCGUACCGGCGCCCAACUGACGCUGAAGCACGAAGGCGUGGGCAUCGAACAGG
rnacentral:rRNA from 1 species